CCUACGGGAGGCAGCAGUGAGGAAUAUUGGUCAAUGGACGAGAGUCUGAACCAGCCAAGUAGCGUGAAGGAUGACUGCCCUAUGGGUUGUAACCUUCUUUUAUAAAGGAAUAAAACGAGGCACGUGUGCCUUUUUGCAUGUACUUUAUGAAUAAGGAUCGGCUAACUCCGUGCCAGCAGCCGCGGUAAUACGGAGGAUCCGAGCGUUAUCCGGAUUUAUUGGGUUUAAAGGGAGCGUAGAUGGGUUGGUAAGUCAGUUGUGAAAGUUUGCGGCUCAACCGUAAAAUUGCAAUUGAUACUGGCAGUCUUGAGUACAGUCGAGGUAGGCGGAAUUCGUGGUGUAGCGGUGAAAUGCUUAGAUAUCACGAAGAACCCCGAUUGCGAAGGCAGCUUACUAAACUGUGACUGACAUUGAUGCUCGAAAGUGUGGGUAUCAAACAGGAUUAGAUACCCCUGUAGUC
rnacentral:rRNA from 1 species